rnacentral:rRNA from 1 species
AUGUAUACUUGGUGUAACUGGACUCAACCCUAGUUGUGCCGUAGCUAACGCGAUAAGUAUACCGCCUGGGGAGUACGCUCGCAAGGGUGAAACUCAAAAGAAUUGACGGGGACCCGCACAAGCAGUGGAGCAUGUGGUUUAAUUCGAUGCAACGCGAAGAACCUUACCCAGGCUUGACAUGCAGUAGACAGUCCAAGAAAUUGGAUCUUCCUUCGGGACUGCUGCACAGGUGCUGCAUGGCUGUCGUCAG